UCUGAAUCUGCGAACGGCUCCGCAAACCAGUUGUAAACUACAGCAAGCAAGCACGGGGGGUUGGCCUUCACGGGUCGGUCCCUCGGGCGAUAUGGAUAACCCUGGUAAUUCUGAGGCUAAUACAAGAACGUAACCCCUGGUUGACUGAGCCCUCGCCCUCGGGUGGGGAUACUUGGGAGGCUGGGAAGCGUGCGAGUACUAAUGCGAAUGAGAACCGGGAAUGGGCGCACGCUUGGACCGCGCUACAAAGGAUCAUUACUCGGCAAUCCCUCCGGGGUGCGCUUUGUUUUGGCCCCAGCGGCUCUUGCGGUGUGCUUCUGACCUAUCAACUAGACGGCAGCGUAACGGACAUGCUAUGGU
rnacentral:rRNA from 1 species